rnacentral:rRNA from 1 species
GGCUCAGGAUGAACGCUGGCGGCGUGCCUAAUACAUGCAAGUCGAACGAGAUGCUUUUGUAGCAAUACGAGAGUAUUCUAGUGGCGAACGGGUGAGUAACGCGUUGGUGACCUACCCCAAAGUGUGGGAUAACAGUCCGAAAGGAUUGCUAAUACCGCAUGUGGUCUUCGGAUUUAGAAACCGAUGACUAAAGGAGCAAUUCGCUUUGGGAGGGACCUGCGUCCCAUCAGCUAGUUGGUGAGGUAAUGGCUCACCAAGGCGACGACGGGUAGGGGACCUGAGAGGGUGACCCCCCACAAUGGAACUGAAACACGGUCCAUACACCUACGGGUGGCAGCAGUAGGGAAUAUUGCUCAAUGGGCGAAAGCCUGAAGCAGCAACGCCGCGUGUGCGAUGAAGGCCUUCGGGUCGUAAAGCACUUUUCUGAGAGAUGAGAAAGGACAGUAUCUCAGGAAUAAGUCUCGGCUAACUACGUGCCAGCAGCCGCGGUAAAACGUAGGAGGCAAGCGUUAUCCGGAUUCACUGGGCGUAAAGCGCGUGCAGGCGGUGCGGUAAGUUAGGCGUGAAAUCUCCCGGCUCAACUGGGAGAGGUCGUCCAAUACUACCGUACUUGAGAGCAGAAGAGGAAAAUGGAAUUCCCGGUGUAGUGGUGAAAUGCGUAGAUAUCGGGAGGAACACCAGUGGCGAAGGCGAUUUUCUGGUCUGUUUCUGACGCUCAGACGCGACAGCUAGGGUAGUAAACGGGAUUAGAGACCCCGGUAAUCCUAGCCGUAAACGAUGUGAACUUGGCGUUGGUGGGUUAAACUCCAUCAGUGCCGCAGCAAACGCGAUAAGUUCACCGCCUGG